CCUACGGGGGGCUGCAGUAAGGAAUAUUGGUCAAUGGGGGCAACCCUGAACCAGCCAUGCCGCGUGCAGGAUGACUGCCCUAUGGGUUGUAAACUGCUUUUGUUAGGGAAUAAACCCCACUACGUGUAGUGGGCUGAAUGUACCUAAAGAAUAAGGAUCGGCUAACUCCGUGCCAGCAGCCGCGGUAAUACGGAGGAUCCGAGCGUUAUCCGGAUUUAUUGGGUUUAAAGGGUGCGUAGGCGGCACUUUAAGUCAGGGGUGAAAGACGGCAGCUC
rnacentral:rRNA from 1 species